UACGAAGGGGGCAAGCGUUGUUCGGAAUUACUGGGCGUAAAGGGCGCGCAGGCGGCUUUGCAAGACAGAUGUGAAAUCCCCGGGCUUAACCUGGGAACUGCAUUUGUGACUGCAUGGCUGGAGUGCGGCAGAGGGGGAUGGAAUUCCGCGUGUAGCAGUGAAAUGCGUAGAUAUGCGGAGGAACACCGAUGGCGAAGGCAGUCCCCUGGGCCUGCACUGACGCUCAUGCACGAAAGCGUGGGGAGCAAACAGG
rnacentral:rRNA from 1 species